CCCUCCGAAGUUUCCCUCAGGAUAGCUGGUGCAUUUUAAAAUUAUGUUAAAUAAUCUUAUCUGGUAAAGCGAAUGAUUAGAGGCCUUAGGGUCGAAACGACCUUAACCUAUUCUCAAACUUUAAAUGGGUAAGAACCUCACCUUUCUUGAUAUGAAGGUUGAGGUUAUGAUAUAAUGUGCCCAGUGGGCCACUUUUGGUAAGCAGAACUGGCGCUGUGGGAUGAACCAAACGUAAUGUUACGGUGCCUAAAUUAACAACUCAUGCAGAUACCAUGAAAGGCGUUGGUUGCUUAAAACAGCAGGACGGUGGACAUGGAAGUCGUAAUCCGCUAAGGAGUGUGUAACAACUCACCUGCCGAAGCAACUAGCCCUUAAAAUGGAUGGCGCUUAAGUUGUAUACCUAUACAUUACCGCUAAAGUACAUGAUUUAUAAUACAAUUUCGGUUGUUUUUAUAAAUUUUGAAACUUUAGUGAGUAGGAGGGUACAAUGGUGUGCUUAGAAGUGUUUGGCGUAAGCCUGCAUGGAGCCGCCAUUGGUACAGAUCUUGGUGGUAGUAGCAAAUAAUCGAAUGAGACCUUGGAGGACUGAAGUGGAGAAGGGUUUCGUGUGAACAGUGGUUGAUCACGAGUUAGUCGGUCCUAAGUUCAAGGCGAAAGCCGAAAAUUUUCANGUUUUAA
rnacentral:rRNA from 1 species